AUUGUCGUUGAAAUGCACAAACUGUAAAAGUCUCAUGACUUUAGAGCCUCACGAUGAAUUUUAGAUAAUGUUUAACUCCCCCAUCUUCAUUAUUACAUUCACAUGAUCGUAAUGAUCCCAAUCAUGUUUUUGGGGUGAACCUCAAAAACCAGUUCCAUCUAAAAUAAACAAUGACAGAAUGCAAACCUUAAAAUUACUUUUUCGCCCCCCAAAAAAAAUCAAACUGUGAAAAUAAAGAAAAACACAUUUGUAUGCCUUGAGCAUAUUUUUAAUGCGAAACAAAACAAAAACGUGACGAAGUGAUACAAUAAGAUUAUUAAAUUAUGGCGGAAGUGACGCAACUGUGCACAGUCUGGCACAGCUUCCCGCCGUAGCUCAGGCAGAGCUAACAAGGAAGUCCCAUGUUAUUUCCGAGACCGAAACCCAAUGCGACUGCACCCAUCCCUCCCGCCACUAUGUGUUGCAGACGAGAACUGAAAAUACGUGUGAAGACGAGCCUAUCCCAGCUGACUGGACUGGACUCGUCGGCAGUCAAUCGAACGGCACACGCCUGAAAGACAUCUGACCUUAAGCGUGACGUCGCAGAACUCUCCCACUUCGUAGAAAUGUCUCAGCGACUUGUGGAAGUCCU